rnacentral:rRNA from 1 species
GAUGAACGCUGGCGGCGUGCCUAAUACAUGCAAGUCGAGCGAACGGACGAUAAGCUUGCUUUUCUGAUGUUAGCGGCGGACGGGUGAGUAACACGUGGAUCACCUACCUAUAUGACUGGGAUAACUUCGGGAAACCGGAGCUAAUACCGGAUAAUAUUUUGAACCGCAUGGUUCAAAAGUGAAAGACGGUCUUGCUGUCACUUAUAGCUGGAUCCGCGCUGCAUUAGCUAGUUGGUAAGGUAACGGCUUACCAAGGCAACGAUGCAUAGCCGACCUGAGAGGGUGAUCGGCCACACUGGAACUGAGACACGGUCCAGACUCCUACGGGAGGCAGCAGUAGGGAAUCUGCCGCAAUGGGCGAAAGCCUGACGGAGCAACGCCGCGUGAGUGAUGAAGGUCUUCGGAUCGUAAAACUCUGUUAUGAGGGAAGAACAGAUGUGUAAGUAAAUGUGCACAUCUUGACGGUACCUAAUCAGAAAGCAACGGCUAACUACGUG